UGGAAUCGCUAGUAAUCGCGGAUCAGAAUGCCGCGGUGAAUACGUUCCCGGGUCUUGUACACACCGCCCGUCACACCAUGGGAGUCGGAAAUGCCCGAAGUCUGUGACCCAACCGAAAGGAGGGAGCAGCCGAAGGCAGGUCGGAUGACUGGGGUGAAGUCGUAACAAGGUAGC
rnacentral:rRNA from 1 species